AAAAAAGCAAAAUGCAAGCAAAUAAAAUUUAUAAAACAUUUUAUAAUCUGAAGUUCUCAAUAACUUCUUAUAAGUAAACCUGGAAUCAAAAUGUGCUGGAUAGCUUUUACUAUUAUUUUACAUAGAAGAACCACCCCUUUAUUUUACCAGCCAGCGCUGUGAGCCCUAGCCCCCCGCGGGGGCGAGGGGCCCGUGCCUGCCGGAUCGCUAAGGCGCCAGAAGGAGCACGCACAAACAAAACGCACCCUCUUCCGCUGAACAGCUGCGCCUGCAACACACCUCCCAGCAACAAAGUAGAGCUCUUUUUAAUCAACUUUUGACGGAUAAUGAAUGCAAUUGCAUCUGUGACAAGUUGAAUAUCACCCAAAAGUAAGACCCUCAAUUAUUUCCUCUUAGAGUUCCCUCCCUUCUUUCUUCUAAUAGUUUCUUAAUACUCCUAAAAAGGUAAUUUAGUCUAAUAGCAAAGACUCGCAAGUAUAGAAUUUGACUGCUGUUUAAUGCUAUCUAAAAUGAAAAGCAUAUUAUAACAAACCACGACUCAUUAUCUUCACACAGCACACACAUUCUGCUAUCAACAAGAUUAGAAUGGGUAUGAUGCCUGGAAAGGCAUACUCAAAACAAUAAUCUAAAAAAGCAGCUGUUUCAGAAGCCACAAAAUGCAUUAGGGAUCUAAAUUCAUUAGCUGUUGCGUCUGCACAUGAACACAAGCGUCCUGGAUCUCAUCGGGAAGCAGCUGAACUCCUGCCUCCCCUCGCCUCCCCCACAGCAUGCUCCAGGCGUAACAGGCACCUUUUCCCUGGAAAUUGAAACAGGAGAAAACAGAGCAGAUCCCGCUUUUCCCCUCACCUUCUAACUGUCCCACUCAAGAAGCAAUGGACCUGAGAUCUGGGCCACAUAGUCUGAAGGUAUUCAAGCUCCUGCCUCCCACAGUAACCCUCCUGGUCAGCUACACUUUAAUUUGCUUGAGGCAUUUUUUUCCCCUUCCUUUUGAAGCUGGACCUGGUUCACCCAAAAAGGAAAGAUUGCCUGGGACAGAGGUAAAACAAAUCAGAAGUGAGCCUGAUGCCUAAGAGCUGGCAACACACUCUUGCCUCUUGACGCUGUUAUUCUGGGGGUUGGGGUUUGUUUUAACCUUUGGUCAUUUCAGUUUCAGAAAAAAAAGCACAAACCCACAACACACACAGGCUAGAGAGUAGACACCAGUAUUCCAGUUUCCUCACUCCUAGGUCACUACAGUUUAAUGAUUAAUGCAGUAUCAGAGAAGCUCCUACAUCUUGCCUUAUUGAAGUAGAACCACUGUGCAGCCAACAUAAACAGUGGACGUCCUCCCAGCUGGACUACAUUAGACUUCAGUGCUAGAAGAUGUGCAUCUCACUGUGCUAAGCCUAUGCAGAACAAGAUUUGAAGUCUCCCACUUCUCGGAUGAAUGCCUGAAUAUGCACAAUUACAUACCCAACAUAUUUCAAUAACAUGCUGUAAGUUCAGCUUCUGGUUUUGAAUCAAGUGGACAGACGUGCUUGAUGUACAGCCCCUUGAUCGAGACACUUCAGCUCCAGAGCAUACCAAGAAUUCAAGCUUACUACCAGUCUCUGCUUUUGCCAGUGGGUCAUUUUAGGUCCCACAUGGGCCUCAACAGAUCUGUUUGGAAGGAAUUACAAGCCAACAUCUAGAUACAUGCUGUCAACAUUUCAAGCUUCAUUAUUUUUAUUAGAUUGGAAUGCCAUUAUAGAUUUGAUAUUAGGCUUUAAAAAGCUUUUAAUAAAUCCAUUGAAAACCUA